rfam:Basilea psittacipulmonis DSM 24701, complete genome.
AGUGGGCCCCUUUGCAUGGGUCGGCGGUAAACCUGGUCAGGUCGGGAACGAAGCAGCCAUAGCCGUGCAGACUUAGUGACGAAGUAAGGCUCACUUUU